CAUGCAAGUCGAACGCUAUUUAUAGAGUGGCGCACGGGUGAGUAACGCGUGGGAACCUGCCUUUCUCUGCGGGAUAACGGUUGGAAACGACCGCUAAUACCGCAUACGCCCUACGGGGGAAAGGUCCGCCGGAGAAAGAGGGGCCCGCGUCUGAUUAGCUUGUUGGUAGGGUAAUGGCCUACCAAGGCUACGAUCAGUAGCUGGUCUGAGAGGAUGAUCAGCCACACUGGGACUGAGACACGGCCCAGACUCCUACGGGAGGCAGCAGUGGGGAAUAUUGGACAAUGGGGGCAACCCUGAUCCAGCAAUGCCGCGUGUGUGAUGAAGGCCUUAGGGUUGUAAAGCACUUUCACUGGUGAAGAUGAUGACGGUAACCAGAGAAGAAGCCCCGGCUAACUUCGUGCCAGCAGCCGCGGUAAUACGAAGGGGGCGAGCGUUGUUCGGAAUUACUGGGCGUAAAGGGCGCGUAGGCGGUCUUUUAAGUUAGGCGUGAAAGCCCCGGGCUCAACCCGGGAACUGCGCUUAAGACUGGAAGACUAGAAAACGGAAGAGGGUAGUGGAAUUCCCAGUGUAGAGGUGAAAUUCGUAGAUAUUGGGAAGAACACCAGUGGCGAAAGCGGCUACCUGGUCCGAUUCUGACG
rnacentral:rRNA from 1 species